GGAUAACCUACCCUUAGGACUGGGAUAACCUUGGGAAACUGAGGCUAAUACCGGAUAGGCAAUUUUUCCUGUAAUGGUUUUUUGUUUAAAUGUUUUUUCGCCUAAGGAUGGGUCUGCGGCCGAUUAGGUAGUUGGUUAGGUAAUGGCUUACCAAGCCGUUGAUCGGUACGGGUUGUGAGAGCAAGAGCCCGGAGAUGGAACCUGAGACAAGGUUCCAGGCCCUACGGGGUGCAGCAGGCGCGAAACCUCCGCAAUGUGAGAAAUCGCGACGGGGGGAUCCCAAGUGCCAUUCUUAACGGGAUGGCUUUUCAUUAGUGUAAAGAGCUUUUGGAAUAAGGGCUGGGCAAGACCGGUGCCAGCCGCCGCGGUAACACCGGCAGCUCUAGUGGUAGCAGUUUUUAUUGGGCCUAAAGCGUCCGUAGCCGGUUUAAUAAGUCUCUGGUGAAAUCCUGUAGCUUAACUGUGGGAAUUGCUGGAGAUACUAUUAGACUUGAGACCGGGAGAGGUUAGAGGUACUCCCAGGGUAGAGGUGAAAUUCUGUAAUCCUGGGAGGACCGCCUGUUGCGAAGGCGUCUAACUGGAACGGUUCUGACGGUGAGGGACGAAAGUUAGGGGCGCGAACCGGAUUAGAUACCCGGGUAGUCCUAACCGUAAACGAUGCGGACUUGGUGUU
rnacentral:rRNA from 1 species